rnacentral:rRNA from 1 species
UACAGAGACUGCAAGCGUUAUUCGGAUUCACUGGGCGUAAAGGGUGCGUAGGUGGUUGGGUAAGUUUGAUGUGAAAGCUCAGGGCUUAACCCUGAAAUGGCAUUGAAUACUACUCAACUGGAGGUUUGGAGGGGGGACUGGAAUUCUUGGUGUAGCAGUGAAAUGCGUAGAUAUCAAGAGGAACACCAGUGGCGAAAGGCGAGUCCCUGGACAACACCUGACACUGAGGCACGAAAGCUAGGGGAGCAAACAGG